GUAGGGAAUAUUGGUCAAUGGACGAAAGUCUGAACCAGCCAUUCCGCGUGCAGGAAGAAGAUUCUAUGGAUUGUAAACUGCUUUUAGCAGAGAAGAAACGCCUUCAUUGAUGAGGGUUUGACGGUAUCUGCGGAAUAAGCACCGGCUAACUCCGUGCCAGCAGCCGCGGUAAUACGGGGGGUGCAAGCGUUAUCCGGAAUCACUGGGUUUAAAGGGUGCGUAGGCGGGAAAUUAAGUCAGUGGUGAAAGUCUGUGGCUUAACGAUAGAAAUGGCAGUGAUACUGAUUUUCUUGAAUUGGGUUGAGGUGGGCGGAAUGUGACAUGUAGCAGUGAAAUGCAUAGAUAUGUCAUGGAACACCAAUUGCGAAGGCAGCUAGCUGGGCCUUGAUUGGCGCUGAGGCACGAAAGCGUGGGUAGCGAACAGGAUUAGAAACCCGAGUAGUCC
rnacentral:rRNA from 1 species